GCGACUUUGGUGAAAUUGGUAGACACGUCAGACUUAAAAUCUGUUUCUAUUUAAGAGUAUCGGUUCAAGUCCGAUAAGUCGC
rnacentral:tRNA from 1 species